CUUUAUCGAAGGUAAACAGUGAUGGGAUUAAGUAACUGGUGUACCUAAUUUGUGUUUUAUCGUAACGAGAUCUAUGCGGUUACUUGCGUAUCGUGGUGCUGAUCUGAUAAUGGCGUUGAACUCUACAGGCUCUCCAACUAGAAAAAGAAAGCGACUGAAAAUGAAUUUCCCGGGUCACGGGUGAAUGAACUGUGGCGUGAUAAGCUAGUUGCAUUACUGACUGCACCGGCACUGAUGUGUAGACGAUUAAGGAAAUAUUUGUGGCAUAACUUGGUUGUUUGUAUUUUUGUUUAGCGGUAACAUUAGGAUUGUAUUAAUGGCAACUAUCAACAAAAUAAAAUUAUAAAAGAUUUUGUAAGUAUUUUAUGCAAAAUCAAAAUUAAUUUAUUCUUUCAUAAACGGUUUAGUGGACGUCUUUAUCAUCAUCAUCAUUAUUAAUCCAUAUUCGGCUCACUGCUGAGAUCGCGUUUCCUCUCAGAAUGAAAGGGGUUAGGCCAAUAGUCCACCAUGCUGGCCCAAUGCGGAUUGGCAGACAACGCACACGCAGAGAAUUAAGAAAAUUCUCAGGAUUGCAGGUUCCUCACGAUGCUUCACCGUUUGAGACACGUGAUAUUUAAUUUCUUAAAAUGCACACAACUGAAAAGUUGGAGGUGCAUGUCCCGGACCGGAUUCGAACCCACACCCUCCGGAAUCGGUGGCAGAGGUCAUAUCCACUGGGCUAUCAUGGCUCACCUCUUUAUGAUGCAAGUAUAUAAUUAUUUAUUAAACGGCUGAUCGUUGCAAUCACAAAUUUACGUUUUGCAAUAUCAUACGUACAUCGGAAACCAUUUCCAUUCCGGAAAUAGCCUCAUUGAUCCGGGCUAUUUUUGCCAAUCUAGUAUUAUCUGGCCCGGACUUCAUUUUGCGGUGAGGUGACUUCACUGAAUUAGUAAUAGCAUUCUCAAUGAUUGCGUGGCUUUUUGGAUUGUUUAUAGACGUAUUUGAAAUGUGCAGUCUAUUCUCAAUUCGGUUAUGUUUCUUAGACUAAUUAAAAAUUCCCAAACAUUUUGGGUCUAAUGUAGGCCUUUACCUUUAUAUCGGAUGUUUAUAAGCAUGAAAUAAAUUUUUGUUUAAAUGUC